GCCUUGUUAGCUCAGUCGGAAGAGCAUCAGCCUUCUAAGCUGAGGGUCGCAGGUUCGAGCCCUGCAUGAGGCG
rfam:Entamoeba invadens IP1 unplaced genomic scaffold scaff_1105074724959, whole genome shotgun sequence.